GUGGGGAAUUUUGCGCAAUGGGCGAAAGCCUGACGCAGCGACGCCGCGUGGGUGAUGGAGGCCUUCGGGUCGUAAAGCCCUGUUGGGAGGGAAGAAGGCAGCAAUGUCUGACGGUACCUCCUUAGAAAGCACCGGCUAACUACGUGCCAGCAGCCGCGGUAAUACGUAGGGUGCAAACGUUGUUCGGAAUUACUGGGCGUAAAGCGCGUGUAGGCGGUCCUGCGUGUCGGGUGUGAAAGCCCUCGGCUCAACUGGGGAAGUGCAUUCGAAACUGCAGGACUGGAGUACGGGAUAGGAGGGUGGAAUUCCCGGUGUAGAGGUGAAAUUCGUAGAUAUCGGGAGGAACACCAGUGGCGCAGGCGGCCCUCUGGACCGAUACUGACGCUGAGGCGCGAAAGCGUGGGGAGCAAACAGGAUUAGAAACCCUAGUAGUCC
rnacentral:rRNA from 1 species